rnacentral:rRNA from 1 species
CACGGAGGGUGCAAGCGUUGUUCGGAAUUAUUGGGCGUAAAGAGCGUGUAGGCGGCCGGGUAAGUCAGAUGUGAAAGCCCUUGGCUUAACCAAGGAAGUGCAUUUGAAACUGCCUGGCUUGAGUACGGGAGGGGGAAGUGGAAUUCCCGGUGUAGAGGUGAAAUUCGUAGAUAUCGGGAGGAACACCGGUGGCGAAGGCGGCUACCUGGACGGACACUGACGCUGAGACGCGAAAGCGUGGGGAGCAAACAGG